rnacentral:lncRNA from 1 species
GCGUUUGGGACGCUGGUGGCGCCUGCUGGGACCUGGGGAGCGUCCCCUGCCCCCACCCUUGGGCUGGCGGCGCGCUCAGCUGCAGAAAGGAGGCUUUGUUCCCUGUCCCCGGCAGUCUCAUCCUCUUAGCUGCUGCUGGUUUGAGGAAGGUUCUGUGCGGGUCUAGACGCCCCCGCCUGAACAAGGUGCUUUCUAGAGGGGGCGAGUAAGCGAGCACCACUCGGUGUUUGCUCCGCGAACGCCACCUGCUGGCCCGAACUGGGUUGGGCACUGGAGUUUCACGAGAGUGCUGAGGCGCCGGUCCCGCCAGGAACAGGGCAUGCAUGCCUGCUCAUUAACCACUCAAUUCUGUCUUGGGAGCUGACCCAGCACAGCAAGCCAAGAAGAGGGACAGAAAGGAACAAAGCAGUCUUCAUUCCAGGGGACAUGAUUGUCCACACAGAUAAUCCAAGAGGAUCAAUGGCAGACUCUUAGGGCAAAUGCAGAGAAAAUGUAGUCAUGGCCUCCUCGUUUCCCCUCAGAGCUGCAUGUGAGCCCUCCUUUCCAUCCCUUUCAUGGAUCCAUUUCUUCAUUGUUAUGGGCUGUAUUUUGUUCCCUCGAAUUCACAUGUUGAAGUCCCAAUCCCCAG